CGGGGGGGGUGCUAUAAUGCAGUCGACGCACAGCGAAAGGUGCUUGCACCUUUCAAGUGAGUGGCGAACGGGUGAGUAACACGUGGACAACCUGCCUCAAGGCUGGGGAUAACAUUUGGAAACAGAUGCUAAUACCGAAUGAAACUUAGUGUCGCAUGAUACGAAGUUAAAAGGCGCUUUGGCGUCACCUAGAGAUGGAUCCGCGGUGCAUUAGUUAGUUGGUGGGGUAAAGGCCUACCAAGACAAUGAUGCAUAGCCGAGUUGAGAGACUGAUCGGCCACAUUGGGACUGAGACACGGCCCAAACUCCUACGGGAGGCUGCAGUAGGGAAUCUUCCACAAUGGGCGAAAGCUUGAUGGAGCAACGCCGCGUGUGUGAUGAAGGCUUUCGGGUCGUAAAGCACUGUUGUAUGGGAAGAACAGCUAGAAUAGGGAAUGAUUUUAGUUUGACGGUACCAUACCAGAAAGGGACGGCUAAAUACGUGCCAGCAGCCGCGGUAAUACGUAUGUCCCGAGCGUUAUCCGGAUUUAUUGGGCGUAAAGCGAGCGCAGACGGUUGAUUAAGUCUGAUGUGAAAGCCCGGAGCUCAACUCCGGAAUGGCAUUGGAAACUGGUUAACUUGAGUGCAGUAGAGGUAAGUGGAACUCCAUGUGUAGCGGUGGAAUGCGUAGAUAUAUGGAAGAACACCAGUGGCGAAGGCGGCUUACUGGACUGUAACUGACGUUGAGGCUCGAAAGUGUGGGUAGCAAACAGGAUUAGAUACCCUGGUAGUCCACACCGUAAACGAUGAACACUAGGUGUUAGGAGGUUUCCGCCUCUUAGUGCCGAAGCUAACGCAUUAAGUGUUCCGCCUGGGGAGUACGACCGCAAGGUUGAAACUCAAAGGAAUUGACGGGGACCCGCACAAGCGGUGGAGCAUGUGGUUUAAUUCGAAGCAACGCGAAGAACCUUACCAGGUCUUGACAUCCUUUGAAGCUUUUAGAGAUAGAAGUGUUCUCUUCG
rnacentral:rRNA from 1 species